UUUAUGGAGAGUUUGAUCCUGGCUCAGGAUGAACGCUGGCGGCGUGCCUAAUACAUGCAAGUCGAGCGAACAGACGAGGAGCUUGCUCCUCUGAUGUUAGCGGCGGACGGGUGAGUAACACGUGGAUAACCUACCUAUAAGACUGGGAUAACUUCGGGAAACCGGAGCUAAUACCGGAUAACAUGUUAAACCGCAUGGUUCAACAGUGAAAGACGGUCUUGCUGUCACUUAUAGAUGGAUCCGCGCCGCAUUAGCUAGUUGGUAAGGUAACGGCUUACCAAGGCAACGAUGCGUAGCCGACCUGAGAGG
rnacentral:rRNA from 1 species